UACGUAGGGUGCAAGCGUUAAUCGGAAUUACUGGGCGUAAAGCGUGCGCAGGCGGUUUUGUAAGUUUGUCGUGAAAUCCCCGGGCUCAACCUGGGAAUGGCGAUGAAGACUGCAAGGCUAGAAUCUGGCAGAGGGGGGUAGAAUUCCACGUGUAGCAGUGAAAUGCGUAGAGAUGUGGAGGAACACCGAUGGCGAAGGCAGCCCCCUGGGUCAAGAUUGACGCUCAU
rnacentral:rRNA from 1 species